AACGCGAAGAACCUUACCCGGGCUUGAACUACGGAUGGUAAGUCCCAAGAAACUGGGGCUGACCCGCAAGGGAGUCCGCAGAGGUGCUGCAUGGUUGUCGUCAGCUCGUGUCGUGAGAUGUUGGGUUAAGUCCCGCAACGAGCGCAACCCCUAUUCGAUGUUGCUAAUCCCGCAAGGGAUGCACUCUUCGAAAACUGCCUUCGAUAAGAAGGAGGAAGGUGGGGAUGACGUCAAAUCCUCAUGGCCCUUAUGUCCGGGGCUACACACGUGUUACAAUGGCCGGUACAAUGGGAAGCAAUACCGCAAGGUGGAGCCAAACCCACAAAGCCGGCCCCAGUUCAGAUUGUGGGCUGCAACUCGCCCACAUGAAGGCGGAAUCGCUAGUAAUCGCUGAUCAGCAGGCAGCGGUGAAUACGUUCCCGGGCCUUGUA
rnacentral:rRNA from 1 species